GGAAUAAUUUUGGGUUUGUACACCUCCUUGACUGUUAAUUUAUAAACAUGCUAACCAUAUUAUUCUUCCCAUCAAAAACUCAUGCCAGUUUUGAGUAGUCUUGGAGAAAAAAAAUGCAUAUUGCAAACGUAGAAUCAAAUUUUCAAGCCUCCAUUACGUGGAGUGGAGGUUAAGGAAAACUUAGCAAAGGUCUUAUUGCUGGUUAUGCCUCAAAAAAUCUGAAAUAGGUACAAGUGGCAGAAAUAAAGUUCUGUACCACGUAAGCAAUGUAAUUUCAUUUGUUCCCACUUCUCCAGAUGUAAUAAGAAAACUGAACCAAAUGUGGGUGGCAGCUAGUAGGGCUUAUUAGGCAGGGGCCAGAAAACCGAGCAUACAACGUGCAGCCUGAGUGUUGAGGGCCAGAUGACUGCUGAAUUGUGAGGGUGUCGGGAAUUUGAAAUCCAGGGCAGUGGGCCAUAGACAUGGAGUUUUCAGGUCUUGGAAGCCAAGAAAAAGCCAAGGGGGUAGAACCCAAGGAAUCAGUUAGGGAAGGUUGGAACAGGCAGAUUUCCUUGAGAUGAAGUAGUAGAAAAGGUGAAAGAAUUCCAUGCCACAUAUAUUUUUCACUGAAGUAGCAAAACUGGACUGAUCUUAGUGCAAUGAAUUUUUUUUUUUCUAAUUGUUUCCAUAGAUAUCUCUGGAUGUGGAUCAUAGGAGUGAAAAGGAGGCAGUGUCAGCCAGAGAGAAAGUCAAUUGCUCUUUGGUACAUGUCAGGACUAGAAACUAGAUAUGGUGGGAGAGGGCCAGACUGGAGAAUCAAUAGUCUUUUGGAGAAGGGCCCAGCAGCCUGGAAGUCCAAAAAGAUGGCAAAACCUGCUGUUCAGAGCUUUGGCAACGGGUAGAAGCUGGAAAUCCAGGCAGGCAGGUGGUUGGCAUGGAGGCUAUCCAGAGGUGACCGAUAGGUGUCUCCCUGGCAGGUGGGCAGAGCACAGGACAAAGACAUGUUGGCAGCAGCAAAUAGGGUCCCAGCCAUGAGGAAUGGGGCUCAGGUGGAAACUUUUGUCUUUAAAACAAUUGGGGCUGGCAGACAGGAAAUUCGGCAAGAAGUGAGAGAGGAAAGACAAGGACCUGAUUCCUAGAGCCAGGGUGCAAAGCUUGCCCUACACCCCGGGGAACAAGAUCAGAAAGGGACCAGAAGGAAGGCAAACAGGAGGUAAAACCUUGGUACUGAAGAUGUUUCUGUUUCCCAUAUCCAAAGACCAAAGGAGAUCACAGAACCUACAGCAAGAUGGCUACUUCGAAUGUGAGAGCCUGUGGAGGUGUGGCAAGGAAACAUAUAGUUAAGAAGCCCCAGACAUCGAGUUCCAUCUGGUGUCUGAUAGUCCUCACAGAUCUAAACUGGAGCUGGGAUGGGACCUAGAGCCAUGAGGAAGUUCCUGACAGCAACUUCUCUAAAGUGAUAGCAUCUUGAUGCUUUGGGGAUCCCAGGUUUGUCACAGUAGGGGCUGAGAAAUGCCUAGGGAGUUGGAGGAGCAUGUGCUUUGGGUUGAUAUUCCCAAUCUGUUUCCAGUUGGUACCCAUACAAUCUAUGCUGCUAGACUUUUUUGAAUCAAAGUAUAGCUGAUUUACAAUGUUGUAUUAAUUUCUGCUGUACAGUGAAGUGAUUAAGUUUAUAUAUAUAUAUGUGUGUUAUAUAUAUGUUAUAUAUGUUAUGUUAUAUAUAUAUGUAUAUAUAUAUACUCUGAAAAAAUAUUCUUUUCCAUUAUGAUUUAUAAUAGGGCAUUGAAUAUAGUUCUCUGUGCUAUACAGUAGGUGGGAUCCUGUUGACUAUCCCCCCUUUUUUAAAAGCUUUAUUGAAGUAUAGUUGAUUUAUAAGGUUGUGAUAAUUUCUGCUGUACAACAAAGUGAUUCAGUUAUAGAGGUAAUAGCUUACACUUGAUAACCCCAACCUUCUACUCCAUCCCUCCCCAAUCUUCUCGCCUUUGACAACCAUAAGUCUGUUCUCUAUGCCUGUGAGUGUGUUUCUGUGUCAUAGAUAGGUUCAUUUGUGUUGUAUUUUCUGAUAAGUUUGUGUUUAAUAUGCUUUUAUCUUUCUUUUUUCUAUUUAUCUGUUUCGUUAGUCGCUUGCUUGGAGGAGUUUUUCUCUUGUUCUUUUGUUUGAAUCAAAUGCUUUUGUCUUUUUAUUUGGUUUAACUUUCUCUGUCUCUCUGAAAAUAGAUGAAACGGUUACUUGCAUUGCUUUCUCCCAUGGAACAGUGCAGGGGGAGAGUGGUUGAGGGUGCUCCCUGGGCUGAUUCUAAAAGUCCAGGUCCCUCCCAACCUGCUGCUCUGCCAUUCUGGGAGGCAGGCCUUCCUAACCUUUGUUUGUGUCAUUGAACUUUCUGGCAGACUGCUGAAGCCUAUCUUAAAAUACUUGUAGAUGCAUAUAUUAUGAAGUCUUAUAAAUAACAGUUAUAUUGAAUUUUGGUUAUCAGCAUGUUGAUAAAAUAGAUUUGUGACAAAGUAAUACAUAUGCUUUUUAUGAUGACAUUAAAUAAUAUAUUUUGAUGGUGGGCCUUAAUUCUGAAGUAAUGAUGAGUGUAAACACCAAAUGAAUGAGGUAAGUUUAUCAUUGCUCCAAUUUUAUAGGUAAUGAAACAGAAGUAUGAGGGACGAAAUAAUUCGCACAGGGUUUACAUGCCUAGUAUUUAGUGGAGCCAGGGUUCUGUCCUGGACUGUCUGGCUACAAAUAAAUAAUGAAGAGAAAGAGGAAAAUAAAAUUAAUCAAUAACAAAAUUAAUGAUUUAGAAAAACAGAUACAUGAAAAUCAAAAUGGGUUAUUUGAAAAGACCAAUAAGGAGUUCCCAUAGUGGCUCAGCAGUAAUGAACCUGACCAGUAUCCAUGAGGACAAAGGUUCAAUCCCUGGCCUCACUCAGUGGGUUAAGAAUCUGGUGUUGCCAUGAGCUGUGGUAUAGGUUGCAGAUGUGGCUGAGAUCCCAACAUUGCUAUAGUUGUGGUGUAGGCUGGCAGCUGCAUCUCUGAUUUGAUCCCUAGCCUGAGAACUUCUAUAUGUCACAGGAGCAGCCCUAAAAAGCCAAAAAAAAAAAAAAAAAAAAAAAAAA
rnacentral:lncRNA from 1 species